rnacentral:rRNA from 1 species
GAUGAACGCUGACAGCAUGCUUAACACAUGCAAGUCGACUUGAACUUCGGUUUGGGUGGCGGACGGGUGAGUAACGCGUAAAGAACUUGCCUCACAGCUAGGGACAACAUUUGGAAACGAAUGCUAAUACCUGAUAUUAUGAUUUUAGGGCAUCCUAGAAUUAUGAAAGCUAUAUGCGCUGUGAGGGAGCUUUGCGUCCCAUUAGCUAGUUGGAGCGGUAACGGCUCACCAAGGCGAUGAUGGGUAGCCGGCCUGGGAGGGUGAACGGCCACAAGGGGACUGGGACACGGCCCGUACUCCAACGGGAGGCAGCGGGGGGGAUUAUUGGACAAUGGACCAAGAGUCUGAUCCAGCCAUUCUGUGUGCACGAUGAAGUUUUUCGGAAUGUAAAGUGCUUUCAGUUGGGAAGAAAAAAAUGACGGUACCAACAGAAGAAGUGACGGCUAAAUACGUG